rnacentral:ncRNA from 1 species
CCUAUGAAAUAUGGGUUGUUGUUUGAGCGUGAGCUAAGAUGCGCUCGUUAAAUUGGGUGAAUUGCUGGAAGACUAAGUUUAAAAAAAUAUGUUAAUCAGCAGCCAAGUCUAGGAAUAGCGUAAAGUACUAGAAAGGUUCAGAGACUAGAAAGAUGAGUAGCUAAUCAAUAAAUCUUUCCAAGAGUGCCCAACUUAUUGAAUGAUAUAUUAAAUUCAGUAAGAUGAUAUAGUCCAAACUGGAAUGGAAUAAACCAU